CUGCGAGUGAAGAGGGAAGAGCUCAUCAUUGGAAUCUGGCAGUGUUGCACUGUCCGAGUUGUAGAUGAGGAGUAGUCCGUCUGGACUGCAUGGCGUCCAAGUACAAUAGGCCGUCAGUGGGACAUCAUAGAGGGUGACAAUCCCGUCCUUGACGCCAAUGUGCAAGUCUAUUACGAUGGCUAUCUCAGAGAGUCGAGCAGUUUGGGAUUUGCUGCUUAAACAUGGGAGGUAGAUUCCUUCUAAAGCUAAAUACAGGCGAGAGACCGAUAGAGAACAAGUACCGCAAGGGAAAGAUGAAAUAGCACUCUGUGAAGGGAGUCAAAAGGCGUGAAAUUGUUGCGAGAGAAGCGAUUCAAGUCAGCGUAGCUAGGCCCAUCAAGCGUCUUCGCUUUGGACUAGCUUUGCCAGCGGUCUUGUCCCUUGAAGAGACUUGACUUGUAAUAUGUCCAGCCUGGCGUGCACAGGCAGCCCCUUCUGGGGGCCAGUGGCAUGGCUGGUGGAAUGGCUUGCAAUCGACCCGUCUUGAAACACGGACCAAGGAGUCUAACAUGUAUGCGAGUAUAAGGGUGGCAAACCCGUAUGCGCAAUGAAAGUGAUUUUCGGUGAUUGAGAAUGGCCUGAUGACCAGACAAGCAAUAUAUGUCCCUCGUACGGCCAUUGCCCAAGUUCCGUGGUAGAUCCCACGAACAUGGAGUUGGAGCAUACAUGCUAGGACCCGAAAGAUGGUGAACUAUGCCUGGACAAAGCGAAGCCAAAGGAAACUCUGGUGGAGGCUUGUAGCGAUUCUGACGUGCAAAUCGAUCGUCUGAUCUGGGUAUAGGGGCGAAAGACUAAUCGAGGGUAUAGGGGCGAAAGACUAAUCGAACCAUCUCAUAGCU
rnacentral:rRNA from 1 species